CGAUUGUUGAGGCUGCGAAUGCGAUCCGUUAGUGAUUUUUAAGUUUUAGUUAGACCCGGGUUAAGCUUAUUAAAUCUGUAUAUAAACAAUUUUUUUAUUUAGAUUUUCUCUCUCUUCUUUUUUCUCUCUCUUCUCUCUGCCUUCUCUCUAAAAACCUUAGACAUUUUCGCCGCCGUUUGCCUCUCCGGCAUGCCCUUCCGGCGCCAGAGAGAACUCCUCCUUGUUUUUUAGUUUUCUCUCUCUAGCAUUUCUCUUUCCCUGAGUUUGCGGCUGUCCUCCGUCCGUUUCUGGGCUCAAGGUAGGUGUUUUCCAGAGUAGAUCUGGCGCGUGGCAACGACGAGAAGCUUAUGGUGGUCGUCGGAGUUUCCUCGAGACUCGUGGGUGUGAGGACAGCUCCGAUCUGGGUGUUCUCUUCGGCGGAUCUGGGUUGAGCGUCUCGUCAAGCGUCGUUUACUCCGGUGGGUUUUGGGCUUUGAUGAGUGUCGGGGUCUGAGAUCUCCUCCUUGGAGGUGUCUCAGAGAUCGGUUUCAGGUGGUCUUGGUCAUCAGUUUCGCAGAUCUCCCCUUCUCUAGUCGGUUCGGUUGCUUGCUUCUUCGUGUUUGGUUUCGUCAGGUGAGUAUGUUUCUGGGCUGUGCUUAAGUGUAGGUCUUGGCAUACAACUAGAAGGCAGGGGUAAGCAGGGUUCUUUCUCCGGCGGCGGUGGUGUGGGAUUCCCCCAUUUGAUGCGGCUGUGCCGGUGUGGAUUCUUUUGGAUGGUGAGGGAACCCUGGGUGGUUUACUCUUGGUAGAAGAUGCCAGAGGUUUCCCGAAGGUGUUUUCUCGCAGCUCAACAUUCAAUUGACCGCUACGGUUCGCGACGGAAGUCAGUGGGGGUAUGGAAGGUUUCACUGCUCGUCUUGGAGAGAUCACCAUAUAUGGAGAUGGGGGUUAGCUCUGAGUGUGUUCGGUUGCUAGGCAUGGGACCAUCGCCGUAGAGCCUGCUGUCGGCGGUUAGAACAGGCCGAGAGAUCUGUUCCGGAUCAGGUGAGGCGUUGAAUGUUGAACCGGAGUCGGAUUUCGAAUGCUUCCGAUAAGGGUUCACUUCAUUGUCUCUGCCGCAAAGGAAUGGGUCUCGCAUUCGCCGGGAUUACUGUUCCGAUCACUGUUGGAGGUCACGUUUAAUUCAGCAGGAGAAGAUCUUGUUUCUGUUUUAAUGGGCCGAUCUCAUGUUAUUUCCAUUUUGUACCUGUCCAAUAUUGUAUGUUUCAAGGCAUUGCCCAAUUAAAAUUGGGAAGGCCCAUUAGUAAAUAUAAAAUAUUUUAUUUAAAAAUAUAUAUAUAUAUAUAUAUAUAAACAAUUUUUUAUUGUUUUUGAUCACCAAAUUUGUAUAUUAACAUUGUAGAUGAAGUUUGUUACAUGAUAUAAUGAAAACAUAAAUCAUUUCA